GAUGAACGCUGGCGGCGUGCCUAACACAUGCAAGUCGAGCGAGAAGAUUAUGAAUGAUCCUUCGGGUGAGUGAUUAAUUGGAAAGCGGCGGACGGGUGAGUAACGCGUGGGUAACCUACCUUCUACAGAGGAAUAGCCAUUGGAAACGAUGAUUAAUGCCUCAUAAGACUACACUACCGCAUGGUAGAGUAAGUAAAAACUCCGGUGGUAGAAGAUGGACCCGCGUUAGAUUAGCUAGUUGGUGAGGUAAUGGCUCACCAAGGCUACGACCUAUAGCCGACCUGAGAGGGUGAUCGGCCACACUGGAACUGAGACACGGUCCAG
rnacentral:rRNA from 1 species